UACAGAGGGGGCAAGCGUUAUUCGGAAUUAUUGGGCGUAAGGGGCGCGUAGGCGGCCUGGCAAGUGGAAGGUGAAAUCCCUCGGCUUAACCGAGGAACUGCCUCCCAAACUGCUCGGCUUGAGACCAGGAGAGGUGAGUGGAAUUCCCAGUGUAGCGGUGAAAUGCGUAGAUAUUGGGAGGAACAUCAGUGGCGAAGGCGGCUCACUGGACUGGUACUGACGCUGAGGCGCGAAAGCGUGGGGAGCAAACGGG
rnacentral:rRNA from 1 species